UAGGUCGUAAAUUUUUUAUGCCAACUGUGUAAUAGCUAAAGUGUAACGUGUGUGUAUCAGUUUAAAUGCUCUAUAUAUUGUUAGUAUAGAAUUCUAAACACUGUUGGUAUACCAGGUCAGAGGGGAUGAGCGGCGAGGCCACCAAGUCCGGAAGCGGCGAUAGGCUCAUGGGUCUAGGGACGGCUCGUGUCCACAGCCGAUAGCUUGUAUCAGCAUAAAUAAUUGUGGCCAAAUCUUUAUCUUUUGCAAUCUCCUAUAGUCCAGUUUGCUUGUUGAUUAAUUACAUUAAAAGUCGUUCCUAGGAAACUAGUUGUAUUGUCCUGUGCUUUGGAUUUUGAUUUUUAUAAAUGGUCUGUGAUUGUUUAAUCAUGUAGCUGAUAUUAAUUUCACCAAUAAGUUUGCAUGCUUAACAAGUUAGAUUUAUAUGCAUUUCUUUGAUUGUAUGUGCAAUGAAUAAUUUUUUGUGCAUUUGAUUUUGGACCUUUAUGCUUCGUGGGUUCUAUACUAAAUGAAUUAAGUUUUUACACAUUCAGAUCAAUUCCGAUGGUAGUCUGUUGCAUGACGUAGACCAAGGAGGCGGCGCUGGCGCGAAGCAAUUGGUGGCAUGCAGUCCAUAGUGGUGGCACUGGUGCGAAUCAGCGGUAGCGGUUGGUGGGGUGAAAACGUCAAUGGUGCAACGAG
rnacentral:lncRNA from 1 species